UUUUCAUUCAAGUUUCUAAAUUUUAAUGACUACAGAUUAUCUUUCUCAAAAUUUCAAACUUUCAAUAUUCAAGUUCUAAAUUCUUAAUAUCAUUUGGUGAUUUGGUCAUUUGGUGUAUUAUGGAGGAGGAAUCUUCUUCAACUUCAAGUUUUGACAUCAAUAUUUUAAUUUUCAUUAUAAUCGUUUGUUCUUACAUAAAUGUUUGGGUUCGGAUGAUAUUACAAACGAUGAAGAUAUACCACAAUUAUUGAACUGGUGGAGGGCUCGUGGAACUCAAUUUCCAAAACUUAAUAGGAUGGUGAAGGAUGUGCUUGCAAUUCAAGGAUCAUUAGUAGCUUCAAGGCAACUUUUAGCGCGGCAAGAUUUUAAAUUGGAGACCACAUAUAUUCGUUAGCAAAAGACAACUUGGAGAUAUCAGUGUUAUUUAGAGAUUGAUAAAUGUUGAUUGGAGAAAUCAAGAACUUUCAAAGUUAGAUAGUCAAUUUGAACUUUUCAUAGAUUCAAUUAUUAGAUGUGAUAGUGAUGAUGACAUCGAACUUCAAGAUCGUCAACGAGCUUUACCAAGACAAGAAGUUGAUUACAAUCAAUCUAUAUCUGAGUUAGAAAGAGAAUUUACGAAACUAUACAACUAUUAAAAUUA